rnacentral:rRNA from 1 species
UACGGGGGGGGCAAGCGUUGUUCGGAAUUACUGGGCGUAAAGGGCUCGUAGGCGGCCAACUAAGUCCGACGUGAAAUCCCCAGGCUUAACCUGGGAACUGCGUCGGAUACUGGUUGGCUUGAAUCCGGGAGAGGGAUGCGGAAUUCCAGGUGUAGCGGUGAAAUGCGUAGAUAUCGGGAGGAACACCAGUGGCGAAGGCGGCUUCCUGGCCUGUUCUUGACGCUGAGGCGCGAAAGCUAGGGGAGCAAACGGG